UUGGCCUCACAGUGAAGUUGCGGCUGCUCCUAGCGCUAGGGGAACUCACUGGGUUCUGCAUGAUCAUGUUGGCAAACAGGGGAGCGGAAUGCGUAACUAUCCUUCGGGAAAAGUUCCUUGGGUUUUUUCCCAAAUACACUCGGUUUGCCUUUGGCUUAAAAACUUAACCUCAGCGCAGUCUCCUCUGUGGACAGUUGUGGAGAAGAGAUUCUGAGUCAGGGUAAGAAUGCAGCCUCACUGACUGGAUGGGAAAUGAUAUACUAGGGAGGAAGAGGUACCUCUCCAUGUGUCAAAGACACACAUCCUCUAUGGACGUCAGGUUUUCUUCAUUAUUUUCUGAGCACCUCUAAUGUCCAGGACUAGCCCAGGUGCUGAGUGAAGGAUGAUGAACCACACAGACCUGGUCCCUGCCCUCAGGAGCUCUUGCUUUUGAUAACAUUCCCAAGUGGCUCAGCUGGUAAAGAAUCCACCUGCAAUGUGGGAGACCUGGGUUUGAUCCCUGGGUUGGGAAGAUCCCCUGGAGAAGGAAACAGCUACCCACUCCAGUAUUCUGGCCUGGAGAAUUCCAUGGACUACAGUCCACAGGGUGCAAAGAGUCAGACACGACUGAGCAACUUUUACUUCACUUCACCACAAUCAGUGUUUAUGUUUGCUGCUUCAUCUUAAAGGUAAGAUAAAAAUUCCUUUACGUAUAUUUCCCUCUAAACAUAGUCCUAAACUGUCUUCCAUUUCCCAGCAAAACCUCUAGAAAGAGUUGCUUAUAAUUGCUGUAUUCUUUUCUUAACUCUUCCUGCAUCUGGACUUCUGAAACAUAUCCCACGUCUAUUAUCAGAUCCCAGGAACCUCUCCCACCAAAAACCAUGCCUCUGUGAAGAACGUGCCUAUUUUUCAGUUCUGGUUUGACCUCUCAGCAUUAUUGGAAGUUCUUUAUCAUUCCCUGUUUCUCCAGACCCUCUUUGUUUAGCUUCAGGGGCUCCACAGAUCUUAAUUCUUCUCACCUCCAUUUUAUUUGGAGGUUCAUUUCAGCUGCUAGACCUGUAAGAUUCAGUUCUCCCCUCUUUUCACGUGCUGUCUUCCACCUAGGCAAUUUCAUCCAUUCCUCAGCCUUAAAUUAACAUCUUCAGAGGACUGUUCCACAUUUAUACCUCCAGCUCAGAUCUCUUCUCUGAAUUUCAGACUAGCAUUCCCAACAGGGCUUGGGUGAUUUCCUCUGGGAAUGUUUCACAGAAUUCUUAACCAGUUCAGGGUCUCUUACAGUGCAUUCCCAGUUCACUUUGUAUUUUUCUAUCUAUUUUAUUGUGAUUUUAUUACAUCUUCUUCCUUGAAAUGUACUCUGUGAGGUCAGAAACCCCACUACCCCACUACUAUGCCUAUCUUAUUCAUCACUUUACCCACAGUAUCUAGCAAAAUAUUUGCUUUGUAAUUACUAUUUAUUGAAAGUCUGAAUUGAUAAAUUUAGUGAUUCUUAUUUAAGACAUUGUAGGCGCUGAGCUGGAAGAAGCACAAACUGGAAUCAAGAUUGCCGGGAGAAAUAUCAAUAA